rnacentral:rRNA from 1 species
UACAGGGGGUGCAAACGUUGCUCGGAAUUAUUGGGCGUAAAGCGCGCGUAGGCGGCCGCUUAAGUCGGAUGUGAAAGCCCCUGGCUCAACUGGGGAAGUGCACCCGAAACUGAGUGGCUUGAGUACUAAAGAGGGUCGCGGAAUUCCCGGUGUAGAGGUGAAAUUCGUAGAUAUUAGGAAGAACACCAGUGGCGAAGGCGGCUCACUGGUCCGGUACUGACGCUGAGGUGCGAAAGCGUGGGGAGCAAACAGG